rnacentral:rRNA from 1 species
GGCGGACGGGUGAGUAACGCGUUGGGAAUCUACCCAUAGUGGGGGACAACUACCGGAAACGGUAGCUAAUACCGCAUACGCCCUAUGGGGGAAAGGCUUCGGCCGCUAUUGGAUGAGCCCGCGUCAGAUUAGCUAGUUGGUAGGGUAAAGGCCUACCAAGGCAACGAUCUGUAGCUGGUCUGAGAGGACGAACAGCCACACUGGGACUGAGACACGGCCCAGACUCCUACGGGAGGCAGCAGUGGGGAAUAUUGGACAAUGGGCGAAAGCCUGAUCCAGCAAUGCCGCGUGUGUGAAGAAGGCCUGCGGGUUGUAAAGCACUUUCAGUUGGGAAGAUGAUGACGUUACCAACAGAAGAAGCACCGGCUAAAUCCGUGCCAGCAGCCGCGGUAAUACGGAUGGUGCGAGCGUUAAUCGGAAUUACUGGGCGUAAAGCGCGC